AGUUAAUCCAUCAUGAUCAAGUAUGCUUCAUCCCCAGGAUGCAAGGUUGCCUCAACAUACACAUAUCAAUUAAUCUGAUUCAUCACAUAAACAAAACUAAAGAUAAAAACCAUGUGGUUAUCUCAAUAUAAGCAGAAAAGGCUUUCAAUAAAAUUCAAUGCCUCUCCAUAUUAAAAACUCUAAAAAAUCUGGGUAUUGAAGAAACAUAGCUCAAAAUGAUGAGCUGUUUUUGUAUCAGUAUCAUGCUGUUUUGGUUACUGUAGCCCUGUAGUAUGGUUUGAAGUUGGGUAACAUGAUGCCUCCAGCUUCGUUCUUUUUGCUGAGGAUUGCUUGGCUAUUAGGGCUCUUUUUUUUGGUUCCAUAUGAAUUUUGAAAUAGUUUGCUCUAGUUCUGUGAGGAAUGCCGUUGGUAAUUUAAUAGGGAUAACUUGCAUCUGUAAAUUACUUUGGGCAGUAUAGCCAUUUUAAUGACAUUAAUUCUUCCUAUCCAUGAGCAUGACAUGUUUUUCCAUUUGUUUGUGUCUUCUCUGAUUUCUUUGAGCAGUGUUUUGUAAUUCUUCUAGAGAUCUCCUAGAGAUCUUUCACCUCCCUGGUUAGCUGUAUUCCUAGGUAUCUUAUUUUUUCUGUGUGUAGCAAUUAUGAAUGGGAUUGUGUUCUUCAUUUGACUCUCUGCUUGACUUGAUGUAUAGGACUGCUAGUAAUUUUUGCACAUUGAUUUUGUAUGCUAAGACUUUGCUAAAGUUUAUCAGCAGAAGAAGCUUUGGGGCCAAGACUAUGGGGCUUUCUAGAUAUAGAAACAUGUCAUCUGUAAACAGAGACAGUUUGACUUCCUGUCUAUUCCUCUCUUCCCUCCUCUGUUUGGAUGCCCUUCCAGUUUUGCACAUUCAGUGUAAUGUUGGCUGUGGGUUUGUCAUGGCUAGCUCUCAUCAUUUUGGCACUUCUGACUAGAAGGGCAAGAGGGGCCAGUGUUGUUGUUACCUGAAAGGUGAUGGCAUCAGCUGAGAAGGGAAGGAAGCCCAUGAGAGGACACUGAAGAAGGAGUGAGCAGACAAUAAGAAGCCCACAGAAGACAGAGAAGGAACAACUAGAGGGAGAAGCCAAGUUUCUCCACAGACACUACCCAAAGCAGUGCUUCACUACAGUGGCAGACAGACCUGAAAAUUUUCAUCUGAAGCAGCAGAGUGAACUGCAGAGGCAGGUCACCAACCAGUGUGGAGGCUAAAAGCGGGCCUCUUUGGGGAUUCCAGGUGGAAGUGUUGGACAUCUGUAGUAUUCCUGGUCUCGAAUCAUCCUGAUAUUCUUCAUUUUGUUAUUCACAUUGGACUAGGAGAUAGAAUCUCACUAUGUUGACCAGGCUGGUCUUGAACUCUUGGCACCCAAGCGAUCCUUUUGCCUGGAAUCCCAAAGUGUCAGAUUUACUGAAGAAUAUUUCAUUGUAAUUACUUUUUAUACUUUAUAGGUCAAGAGCUCUGUUUUAAAUACAAAAUUUAUUGAAUAUACUUUUUCAAACAAA
ensembl:lncRNA APPAT atherosclerotic plaque pathogenesis associated transcript